AGUCGCAAGACCAAAGAGGGGGACCCUCGGGCCUCUUGCCAUCGGAUGUGCCCAGAUGGGAUUAGCUUGUUGGUGGGGUAACGGCUCACCAAGGCGACGAUCCCUAGCUGGUCUGAGAGGAUGACCAGCCACACUGGAACUGAGACACGGUCCAGACUCCUACGGGAGGCAGCAUG
rnacentral:rRNA from 1 species